CCGUAAGUGCCAGGGGACUGGGACACGGCCGUGGGCAGCGAGCGGUGCCCUCUGGAAGGCCGGCAGCCUGCAGGGUUGGGGACAAUGCGCGGGGGGGUGGGGUGGGGGGAGGAAGGGGGAGCCCUGGGUGCCGCCCGGGCACCACCCCCUCCUCCGAUCCCCUCCCCCGCCUCCUCCUUCUCUUCCUCCUCCUCCUCCUCCUCCAAGCGCUGCCGCCGCGGUCGCUCGGGCCGCUCCUCCCCGGCGAGGGCUUCAGGAGCCUGCUGAGAGGUGUCUUUGGGGAGAGACCCGGAGAAAGCCCUCGCAGGGCUGAGCCGCUUCUCCGUCAGAACCCUGCUUUGGAGUCAUCUUGUCCCCCAUCGGUAGGUACCCGCUUCCUGGGGAGCUUUUGGCCCUGUCCCGGGAAGACUCCUUGGAGGCCCGAGAACGGGGCAGGUGGUUUCUCCAGAGCCCUUGACUGGGGGGGGGGGGUGCGGAGUAAUGGAUGCUCCUCUGGGCCUCCACCCCUUCCAUAUGGGAACCCUAAUUCCUGGGACCACCCCAGGCAAACAUUUCCAGGCCGGCACCUCCCAAAGUUCACUUCUGGGCCCUCCCUUUGGCCCAACAUUCAUUUGGUGUCGUCCAAGGGUGGAGAUCCUCUGGGAGUCCUGCUGAGCCAGAGCCGGGGACUGUGGGGUUCCGCAGGCACUUCUAGCAGCUCCAGCAGGGUGUUGUGUGCUGGGGCAUCCGGACACCCUGGGUCAGUCAAGGAAAGGCUGGUUGUGGCCAGACUAGCCCCACUAGGGAGAGGGGAGGCCGGCUCUGGGCUCUGGGCUCUCCCUGGGGCACCCUCCUAGGCCAAUGGAGCAUGGGUGGGGGGAUCUGGAACCUGCUCCUCUUUAGGCUCCCGCUUGCUCUUCUGUCCAAUGCCAGGGUUGCCCCCGUUGGCCGAGCUUCCUUCCUGCUCUCCUUCCUUCCUAGAAUCCCAACCCCCACAGUGUUUAAGCAUGGAGCAGGCUGACUUGGGGAAGGGAGAGACCUUGGUGUUGUCACUGCAGGGGAUUUCUGCCCCGGUGUGGCCUCAGAGGCUUCCUGCCCCUCCGAUUCUGGGAUGACACCUGUCUGUCUGGGUCCUGCCCUCAUUCCUCUGUAUGGGUGCCCUCAGCUCCUUCCUUGGAGAGGGAAAGCCUGGCUGUGGUCAGUGGGCCCCACUUUCUGCCUCCCCAGGAAGGCCCAGACUGGGAGUGGAGUCAGGGGCAGAGCUAGGGAGGCUGCUUCUUGGGCUGAAGCAAUCCCAGCCUCUCUUGGGAUGGGGUGAGCAGAAUGUUGUGGGGCCACCCAAGAGAAGACCAGAGCUAUUUCCUAGGGAGUGGCGGGUGGGGGCUUCACUCCUCAGGGAGGGGGAUUCCAGUGGUCCCCCAGCUCUGCCCCCCAAAGCCCCUGAGGGUUAAGCAGCUGCAGGGUGCCAGGCACAGCCAGGGAAGGGCUCCUUGGCUCCAUCCCUUCUCUGGGGGGAGGCCCUGGGCCUGAGCGGGUUUGAUGCCUCCUCAGAGGGCCUCCUGCUAGGCACAAAGGCCCAUCUUUGCCCUGUGGGCUUCCCCAGAGGCCUCCAGAAAUCCCAGGAAACACGGACAGAGUAAGUCCACAGGAGGUGCCAAAUCGGUGUUUAUUGGUUGAUAAAUAAGAGGUUUUGGGGGUGACUGCUGGCUGGGAAGCAGGAGAGGCUUCCUGGAGGCCAGGCUGCAGGAGCAGAGCUUUUGGGGAUGCUCCUGUAGGGGAGAGAGAAAGCCUGCUGAGCAAAAGCCCGGAGGUGGGGCCUGGAGCCUUGUGGGCCAAGAACGGGAAACCCAGGGGCGA
rnacentral:lncRNA from 1 species